GACCAUCUGAAGAAAACAAGGAAAUUUAUUUGCAAUCGGAUGUAAACUGAAAAUAACUUUAUUUGAAAUUUUGAAAACAACUUUGAGUUUCUUAUCUCAGUAAAAACAUGGCACUAGAUAGAGCCAAGUGAGGAAAAAGAACUCAGGCAGCCAACCCCAAUUAUUUUUGGAAAUAAGACUUGCAAUAGAUAAAAAGUUUACUUUCAACAACACAAAAGAAAGCAAGGGAAAAAACAAAGACACGACUCACCAGCAAAUAUUUCCUAGUAAUGAAGAUAUCUGAAAAGCCAAUUACAAUUUUAAUCUAAACAUCAGCGCAAAUAUACCCAAAUCAAAAACCUUCCCCAGUACCACAUCACCAUGUGUCAUAACUAUUUUAUAGUAUAAGCUAAUAACCAUCACCACAACAGGUUUGAUAUGACACAUGUAUAAUGCAUUACAAUAGCUAUAAUGGACCAAGAAAUACCUUAAGAAUAAAAUGCAAUAAGACCAAC
rnacentral:misc_RNA from 1 species